AUGACGUAUAAAUAACACUUACACUGCGUGGGGUAUCAAAUCCGCUGCAGACUUUUCUUGUUGCGACUAUAGUUAUUUAAAUUUAAUAUUUUUUGUACAACAGAGACGCAACCAUUAUAAUGCGUCUCUCUUGGACAAGAACUAUAUUACCUAAUCGUAUGCGAUUAAGUAGGUACUUUAUUUCGUACGGCCAGAGAAGUAGCUAACUGGGCAAGAUGUACAAAAUGAUCUAAACACGCUCUUAUUCUCUUAACAAUAAAGUCGUAUUUAGUUUAUUUUGCACACCUAGCCAGCUUAGAUAUUUCUGCUGUUUUGUGCCCGAUUGCAUGUCGAAAUACUUUUACAAUAUCGUUAUUUAAAGGACCUAGUUGCAUGUAAUUAAGGUCCAUUUUGAAAUGAAUGAACACAACAUGCUAUCGCAUAAGAGGUGACAUCUAGUGGAAGAAAUUAGUAACAUAAUGUUACCUAUUCAUUUUAAUUUAUUUUUCUACGGUUUUUGUGAAUGCCUCAGUAUUUUGUCGAAUUUUUAUAUUAUUUAUUCAUAAGUGUAAUUUAAUGAAUAUGUUGUGAUUAUGAGUUUUUUUAAGUAAAUGAAUUUUAGUUUUAUUUUUGUACUGAUUGCUACUAUUGCUAGAUUAUAUUCAUCUUAUUUUUUACUGUGGCAUGUUUUAGUAGGAUCUAACUUUUGUAAGGAAUAUUAGAACCAAACCAACUAAUGUAGCAUUUCUACCUUCUUUAAAAUAAACUCAAUGUAAAUAAAACUACUUAUAGAACGGCCUAGCUUGUUCGAUCUUUUUUUAAUAUUUAAAUAUGCAGUAUUUGUUAAAUUCGUGUAGGAUUUGAUGCGUAAACACUAGUUUUGGCUUAGAACAACUUCUUCGUAACGCUACGCUCGUAGCCGAGCCCAGCGUUUUCCCGCUUUGUGGAGGAAAGCGACAGAGAACCCGCCGAGCGGGUUCCCGGCACUCAAUGUGAUUAGGGUCAUUCUACGGAAAGAGUAAUUAAAUGAAAUAGUGACUCGCGUUACUUAGAAUUACCCUUUACGUAACAUAGUACGUUUUUUAGAUUAUUUUUAGUAUUUCCCCUAUUUUCUUUCUUAUUUAUUCAACUAUUAUGUACGUCGUUCUUACGCAUAACAAAAGCUUAUGUUACAAACAUCACCCAUCUCUUUCUGUUUAGUAAAUUACCAGAGAGCUGGUACAAGUGCUAGCUUUUAUGCCUGGCCAAGAUGACAAUUGUGUGCAGAAAACGAAACGAAACGCCAAGAUAAACGCAAAUAACGAUUAACGUCAGGCGUGGCUCACUCCGCGAUUUCGCCGCGUCGCUACAAGUACAUGCGGCCCACAACAAAUUUGGUGUCUAGCAGUAGUAGUUGCCGCGCACCGCUACGGAACGGAUGCCUGCUCGCGCUUGCGCCACCUUGCGGCCACAUCUGUCGUAAUAGACGCGUUUUGUUAGAGAGUGAACCUUCUGUACGUAGUACUAUUAUUUAUUCUGUGAUAACGUAUAGAAAUGGUAGGUUUUCGUAUGCUUUUCUUUAAACGAUUGUUACCUUGGCUAGGCCCCCUCAUCAGAUUUUGUGAACAUCUCAAGUAAGAAAAGUUAGAGUAAAUAAUAUUUAUAUAGCCGUAUAGGGUCUCUUAAUAUAAGUAUUCAAAUUAAUAUUUAUUCUAUUCAAUCUUUAGGUAGGAACUGAAUUUAUAAAUCAUUUAACAAAAGCUGAUGGAAUAUAACAAAAAUGUGACAUUCCACAGGUAAAGGUCCCUUAUGGCGCCAAAUUAAAUUAAUGUUUUUUAUAGUGAAUCAUGCAUGAUGUAUCGUUUUCUAUUGAAAGUAAAUGGCUAAAUUAUUAUUAAAUUAUAAAUGAUCAUGGCGGUUUGCACUUACGCUAUUAUUAACGACGCUCCAAUAUUAAUGCGGUGCUACGUGACGCAAGCGCCGACCGCCAUAAGGUACCUUUUCCCGUGGAACGUCACAUAUAGUCAGUUUGCAUUGACUUGAAUUGAACAAAGAGUGUCAUUAUAAACGUCAUAUUUUCAUAGAAAUUUGACAUUAAUGAUGACAUUGCCAUAGUUUGUCAUUGCAAAUGCCAUGCAGAGUUAGCUUGGUCCGACUAUUAUAAUAUUACAUUUUGUCUCUUUCUGGCAAUUACAGUGCGACAGAGACGAGGUUUACAGUAAUAGAUGAAUAUUUAUUUCAGCUUUUUUUGAAUGAUCUGAAUAUAAAUGUACCAUUCCGAUAUUAGGGUGAAAUGCAAAAUAGAUAACUUACAAAUACAUAUAAUAAAAUAUGAUAUUGUAUCAGUUUCGUUAUAAUUCAUCAAAUAAAUGGAAAUAUAUUA